UACGUAGGGGGCAAGCGUUUGUCCGGAAUCAUUGGGCGUAAAGCGCGUGUAGGCGGCCCGAUAAGUCCGCUGUGAAAGUCCAGGGCUCAACCCUGGAAUGCCGGUGGAUACUGUCGGGCUAGAGUCCGGAAGAGGCGAGUGGAAUUCCUAGUGUAGCGGUGAAAUGCGCAGAUAUUAGGAGGAACACCGGUGGCGAAGGCGCCACUCUGGGCCGAAACUGACGCUGAGGAGGCGAAAAGCGAU
rnacentral:rRNA from 1 species